GGUUUUCCUUUCAUCUUCCCGUCUUUUGCGUUCCUAAACGUCUUGAUCCUUUCCCAUUGAUUGAAACGAAACAGAGUGAACAGAUCCAAGAGUUGUUUGAUUUCGUGUUAAAAAAUGGGGCCUGGAAGUAGAGAAAUCUCUUCGGAGCAACAAUUUCAUGUUGAUUUUUGCCGUGUUCGUCUUCUCACGACAGACAGGAAGAAGAGGAGUGUUUUGUGAGGGAGCUAUUGAGACAGAGAGGAAGCACAAAGGAGGAGAAGAACUAAGUUUAUCUUUAAAGAUUAGGUUUCAACACACCGAGCUGCUCUCAAGUGUAGUCAGAAGUUGCUUUCUCAUCUAUCAAUGAUUAUUUGACAAGAGAGCAUCCUCAAUUCUUCAUAUAUCAAUUAUCACGGCACUCAAGUACAUCCACAUUGGUAUUUCAAUUUCUUUUGGUCUCUGACUUUACCUUUUUCAUCAUUCAAUCUCUUUAUGUGUAUAUAAUAUCUGUCUAGAGAUCACUGACUUCCACAGAUUAUAGCGUAUGUCAAAUUGUCUUUUAAACCUUAACAUUUACUCAGCUACUUAACCCACUGAUGUAGUAUACUGGCAUCAUGACGUUUCCUAAUAUCUCACUUAGUUUUGGCUUUUUGAAUUUUGGUCCCAUCGAGAUUUCUGGAGAUUUUAUUCUGUUUAAUAAUUUAUGUACCUCAGUUGUUGCACUUGCAGCUAAUGUCUAUCACAGAGAU